rnacentral:piRNA from 1 species
UUCCGACGAGCAUAGUCCUAGAGUGU